rnacentral:misc_RNA from 1 species
CGUCUUCUGUUACUCGACUGCACGACGCAAGGGCCUUUCCCCCUUCUUUCCUUCGGCGUUCCGCCCUGCCUUACUCUUAUCUUGCCCCUGCUGGCCCUCACUGGCACGCAAGACAAUGCGCUUCGCCAAGGAUGCUGAGCUUCUCCAGUACAUGGUGCCCGGCAGUACACUUGCUGAUAUUGUGUCCUCUGAGGAGGAUGCCGACGACUACGACGCGUACUUCGACGCACCCGCGGCGAAAGCUGAAGGGGUCUCCGGCGUGGUGCCGGGUGAAGGCUCCGCUGGGACCGGCACGAACGCGCAAGGUGCCGCGACGUCGCUUUCCAAGUUCCAGCCCGCCCAGCACAAGAAUGCGGAUGCGAAGGUGCUCGGCAGAAUACACAUCGAUGACUACUACGACGGACACGGCAGCGGUGGCGGCGCGAGCGGUGGUGCGCAGUCCAACCAACGCGUCCUGAAUGAGCUGCGGGAUAUGACCAUGUCUAGUCGCUUCGCUCAGAAUGCCGCGUCGAAGAACGUCGACCGCUCCGAGCGCGCCACGGUGGAAAACGUGCUCGACCCCCGCACCCGCCUCAUCUUAUAUAAGCUCGUUAACUCCGGCAUUCUAAGCGAGAUCAACGGAUGCGUUUCCACUGGCAAGGAGGCGAAUGUGUACUACGCCGUGAGCGGUGACGGCAGUCCAGCCGCCUUGAAGGUAUAUAAGACGUCGAUUCUGUCCUUCAAAGACCGCGACCAGUAUGUUUCAGGCGAGUUCCGCUUUCAGCGUUACUGCAAGAGUAACCCACGCAAGAUGGUGCGCACGUGGGCCGAGAAGGAGGCACGUAACCUCAUCCGCCUGCAAGACGGCGGUGUCCUUGCACCGGCAGUGAAGCUGCUCCGGCAGCACGUGCUGAUCAUGGAGUUCCUCGGCGAGGACGGAUGGCCAGCGCCGCGGCUGAAGGAGGUGACAUUUCCCUCCGCUAAGGCGCUAGACAAGUGCUACCUGGACCUGUGCUGCACAAUGCGCAAGAUGUACGCGCGCAGUCAUCUGAUCCACGGUGAUCUCUCCGAGUACAACCUGCUGCUGUACCGCGGCCGCGUCGUGGUGAUUGACGUAUCGCAGUCGGUCGAGUACGACCACCCGCGCUCCAUGAGCUUCUUGCGGCGCGACAUCGUCAACGUGAACAGCUUCUUCCGCUCGCGAGGGCUGACGGGGCUGUUCACAUUGCAGGACCUUUUUCAUUUCAUUACGGCAGAUCCGGCGAAGUCGGGAUGGCAGCGCUGCCAGGGCCCGCCGAACGACGAGGAGCUCAUGGCACGACUGAAGGAAAUCCGCGACGACUACGGGGAAGGCGGCGCCGUGCCCGUCGAUGCGGAGCAGGCAAAGGUGGAUGAGCAGGUUUUCCUAAACAUCACAGUGCCGCGCUCCCUCAACGAGAUAUGCGACCGUGCUGGACCGAACAAGGAGGUUGCCGUAUUUGUUGAGGGCAUGACGGCCGCUUCUGCAGCUGCACAGACAGAGGACCACAGCGGUGCCGACGGUGAAGGCGAUGGAGAUGGCGACGACGAGGACUCCGAGGCGGACGAUGCCGACUCACCGAUGAAGGCGAAGGCGGCUCCGCAGGCGGUGUUAGCGAACAUGACCAAGGAGGAGCGCAAGGAGCAUCGGAAGGCCGUGAAGGAGGCCAACCGCGAGAAGCGUGCCGAGAAGAAGAAGAACAACGCCAACAGAAAGAAAAAGGGGCGAAAGUAACACGAGGAGACCGAGGGAGAGAGACGGAGGGGAAGAGGAGCAUCUCGCCAAACUCUCGCACGCUUUCGGGGCUGGCAUCGCACCGCCUCUGUCUGUGCACGGUGCCGGUGUGGUCAGCUUGUGUUUCUCGCAUACUGUUCUCGCUAUCGCUUGUGUACAUCUCUGCUGCUGUGCCGGACGUGUGCCGCUGUGAGGAGACGAGGCACGCGCACGCAUCUCCGCCACGGAUGUGAGCUCGCUGCUGUGUGCUGUCGCCUUUCCCAAUCCUGCUGCUGGUCCCUCACCGUUUGUCUAAGUGUUUUUCAUUCGUGUAAGUGGGUGCAAUCCUGUGUUUGUGUCUCUGUGCGUGUGCGCGCGCGUAUGAGACUCGCGCGCCUCCCGAAGGCGUCAAAAUCGGAAAGAGGGACCAUCGAUGAAGCGACAACGUGGCGUGCGGAGGAAAGAGGGAGGGAGCGAGGGAGGAGGGGGGGGGCAAAGUUGCGCGCGAGGUCACGCGUGCGCGUGCGCCCGCGUGAAUGUCGUGUUACACCGAAGGAAAAAGAAGGCGGCGGGAUUGCGUCACGAGGGGGAGGCAACGAGAGGAGCCGAGAAAAAGGCGCGCACCAGGCACCCUCCUUCCGCCCUACCCCCGCCUAUCGCCUCCGCCUCCGCUUCCGCCGUCCCUCUUUUUCUUUUGUCCAUUCCUCCCCCAUCUGCACUGCCGACCUGCGUGACCUUCCUCGGUGGAACGCAGCUUGUCUUCUCCCCAUGUCCUUCCCCCGCUCCCUCUCUGUUCGAUUGACAGCCUUGCUCUAAAACCAACCAGCCC